UGCUAUACAUGCAGUCGAACGCGUUGGCCCAAUUGAUUGAUGGUGCUUGCACCUGAUUGAUUUUGGUCGCCAACGAGUGGCGGACGGGUGAGUAACACGUAGGUAACCUGCCCAGAAGCGGGGGACAACAUUUGGAAACAGAUGCUAAUACCGCAUAACAGCGUUGUUCGCAUGAACAACGCUUAAAAGAUGGCUUCUCGCUAUCACUUCUGGAUGGACCUGCGGUGCAUUAGCUUGUUGGUGGGGUAACGGCCUACCAAGGCGAUGAUGCAUAGCCGAGUUGAGAGACUGAUCGGCCACAAUGGGACUGAGACACGGCCCAUACUCCUACGGGAGGCAGCAGUAGGGAAUCUUCCACAAUGGGCGCAAGCCUGAUGGAGCAACACCGCGUGAGUGAAGAAGGGUUUCGGCUCGUAAAGCUCUGUUGUUAAAGAAGAACACGUAUGAGAGUAACUGUUCAUACGUUGACGGUAUUUAACCAGAAAGUCACGGCUAACUACGUGCCAGCAGCCGCGGUAAUACGUAGGUGGCAAGCGUUAUCCGGAUUUAUUGGGCGUAAAGAGAGUGCAGGCGGUUUUCUAAGUCUGAUGUGAAAGCCUUCGGCUUAACCGGAGAAGUGCAUCGGAAACUGGAUAACUUGAGUGCAGAAGAGGGUAGUGGAACUCCAUGUGUAGCGGUGGAAUGCGUAGAUAUAUGGAAGAACACCAGUGGCGAAGGCGGCUACCUGGUCUGCAACUGACGCUGAGACUCGAAAGCAUGGGUAGCGAACAGGAUUAGAUACCCUGGUAGUCCAUGCCGUAAACGAUGAGUGCUAGGUGUUGGAGGGUUUCCGCCCUUCAGUGCCGGAGCUAACGCAUUAAGCACUCCGCCUGGGGAGUACGACCGCAAGGUUGAAACUCAAAGGAAUUGACGGGGGCCCGCACAAGCGGUGGAGCAUGUGGUUUAAUUCGAAGCUACGCGAAGAACCUUACCAGGUCUUGACAUCUUGCGCCAACCCUAGAGAUAGGGCGUUUCCUUCGGGAACGCAAUGACAGGUGGUGCAUGGUCGUCGUCAGCUCGUGUCGUGAGAUGUUGGGUUAAGUCCCGCAACGAGCGCAACCCUUGUUACUAGUUGCCAGCAUUAAGUUGGGCACUCUAGUGAGACUGCCGGUGACAAACCGGAGGAAGGUGGGGACGACGUCAGAUCAUCAUGCCCCUUAUGACCUGGGCUACACACGUGCUACAAUGGACGGUACAACGAGUCGCGAACUCGCGAGGGCAAGCAAAUCUCUUAAAACCGUUCUCAGUUCGGACUGCAGGCUGCAACUCGCCUGCACGAAGUCGGAAUCGCUAGUAAUCGCGGAUCAGCAUGCCGCGGUGAAUACGUUCCCGGGCCUUGUACACACCGCCCGUCACACCAUGAGAGUUUGUAACACCCAAAGUCGGUGGGGUAACCUUUUAGGAGCCAGCCGCCUAA
rnacentral:rRNA from 1 species